UGGGGAAUAUUGGACAAUGGGCGAAAGCCUGAUCCAGCCAUGCCGCGUGUGUGAAGAAGGUCUUCGGAUUGUAAAGCACUUUAAGUUGGGAGGAAGGGCAGUAAAUUAAUACUUUGCUGUUUUGACGUUACCGACAGAAUAAGCACCGGCUAACUCUGUGCCAGCAGCCGCGGUAAUACAGAGGGUGCAAGCGUUAAUCGGAAUUACUGGGCGUAAAGCGCGCGUAGGUGGUUCGUUAAGUUGGAUGUGAAAUCCCCGGGCUCAACCUGGGAACUGCAUUCAAAACUGACGAGCUAGAGUAUGGUAGAGGGUGGUGGAAUUUCCUGUGUAGCGGUGAAAUGCGUAGAUAUAGGAAGGAACACCGGUGGCGAAGGCGACCACCUGGACUGAUACUGACACUGAGGUGCGAAAGCGUGGGGAGCAAAACAGGAUUAGAUACCCUGGUAGUCCACGCCGUAAACGAUGUCAACUAGCCGUUGGGAGCCUUGAGCUCUUAGUGGCGCAGCUAACGCAUUAAGUUGACCGCCUGGGGAGUACGGCCGCAAGGUUAAAAGC
rnacentral:rRNA from 1 species